rnacentral:rRNA from 1 species
UACAGAGGUCUCGAGCGUUAGGCGGAAUCACUGGGCUUAAAGCGUGUGUAGGUGGAUCGUUAAGUACCUUGUGAAAUCCCACGGCUUAACCGUGGAACUGCUUGGUAUACUGGCGGUCUUGAGCCACUUAGGGGCUACCGGAACAAAUGGUGGAGCGGUGAAAUGCGUAGAGAUUAGGAAGAACACCAGUGGCGAAGGCGACUUACUGGACUGUAACUGACGCUGAGGCAUGAAAGCGUGGGGAGCAAACA